GAAGGCCGCCAGCAGCCAGAGCCCCACGGAGAAGCCCGCGAAGGAGAUGGCGAAGUACAGGCUGUCCCGGGAGCCCAGGGCGGCCUGCACGACGGAGAAGCCCACCUGGCAGCCCAGGAACAGGAAGUCGGCGGCGGCCAGGUGGAGGACGUACACGGAGAAGGGGCCCCUCCUGAUGUGCAAGCCAAGGUGCCAGAGGACCAGCCCGUUGCCCAGCAGCCCUCCGAGGCCGACGGCCAGGGUCAGGGACUCUGCACGUGGCUUCCCACCAGGAGGGCCUGGACCACACCCUGGUAAGUCCCCCACCCUGGAGGCUCUGAGGGGUCGUGUCCAAUGAUGUCCCCAACGACACCGUCCUGCACUGGCAAGGGGGGGAAGGAAGAUGCACGGGUGGAGACAGCAGGUGGCUGGGAGGGUGUAGGUGGGCUGAGGGAGACCCCGGCCUCCCUCUGGCACUUCUGCUGUCGGUACGUUGGGGAGGGGCUGCUCUGAAGCCACAGAGUGGGCGUGGGGACUGUGGUGAUGGGUUGCAGAGCCCUGGGUCCUCUGGGGAGAAGCUAAUGUGAGUGUUUGCUGCCAGGGGCUUUAAGGGCGCCAGAGGCCGACAGCCCUGUCCUAG
rnacentral:lncRNA from 1 species